rnacentral:rRNA from 1 species
AACGAACGCUGGCGGCAUGCCUAACACAUGCAAGUCGAACGAGACCUUCGGGUCUAGUGGCGCACGGGUGCGUAACGCGUGGGAACCUGCCCUUAGGUUCGGAAUAACUCCCCGAAAGGGGUGCUAAUACCGGAUAAUGUCUUCGGACCAAAGAUUUAUCGCCUUUGGAUGGGCCCGCGUUGGAUUAGCUAGUUGGUAGGGUAAAAGCCUACCAAGGCGACGAUCCAUAGCUGGUCUGAGAGGAUGAUCAGCCACACUGGGACUGGGACACGGCCCAGACUCCUACGGGAGGCAGCAGUGGGGAAUAUUGGACAAUGGGCGAAAGCCUGAUCGAGCAAUGCCGCGUGAGUGAUGAUGUCCUUAGGGUUGUAAAGCUCUUUUACCCGGGAUGAUAAUGACAGUACCGGGAGAAUAAGCUCCGGCUAACUCCGUG